UACGGGGGGGGCAAGCGUUGUUCGGAAUUACUGGGCGUAAAGGGCUCGUAGGCGGUCAACUAAGUCGGACGUGAAAUCCCCAGGCUUAACUUGGGAACUGCGUCCGAUACUGGAUGGCUUGAAUCCGGGAGAGGGAUGCGGAAUUCCAGGUGUAGCGGUGAAAUGCGUAGAUAUCUGGAGGAACACCGGUGGCGAAGGCGGCAUCCUGGACCGGUAUUGACGCUGAGUGAGCGAAAGCCAGGGGAGCAAACGGG
rnacentral:rRNA from 1 species